rnacentral:tRNA from 1 species
GCACCAGUGGCUCAGUUGGAUAGAGCAACGGACUACGAAUCCGUAGGUCGGGAGUUCGAAUCUCUCCUGGUGCACCA